AGAUUUUCCAGAGAAAGUUUGGCAUUCUACCACCCAGAAGAGGUUACCAUGCUGGCACUCUGGUCUUGGACUUCCAGCAUCCAGAACUAUCUCAUCUAGAACAUUAAAAUCAAUAUACAGUGUGAUUUUUAAGAAAUCAAAUGAUGAAAUUCUUCUCAUUUACAAAUCAAAAUAGCACCAACAUCAAAACCUGCAAAAUGGGUGUCAGUGUCUAGGAAGAAAAUUCUUAAGACAGAAGAAGGGCACUCCUCUGUAACAUGCUGCCUCACCCAUGCUCAUGGUGGCACAGAGGAUAUACUGGAUGGAAAAACAGAGGCAUCUAUCAUGAAGAGUUGAAAAGUGAUUCAAAGGAGUCAAGCCAAUC